rnacentral:rRNA from 1 species
CAAGUCGAGCGAGAAGACGUAGCAAUACGUUUGUAAAGCGGCGAACGGGUGAGGAAUACAUGGGUAACCUACCCGCNAGUGGGGAAUAACUAGCCGAAAGGUUAGCUAAUACCGCAUACGACUCUUGGUCUGCGGAUCGAGAGGGAAAGCGAUACCGUGGGUAUCGCGCUCUUGGAUGGGCUCAUGUCCUAUCAGCUUGUUGGUGAGGUAAUGGCUCACCAAGGCUUCGACGGGUAGCUGGUCUGAGAGGACGAUCAGCCACACUGGCACUGCGACACGGGCCAGACUCCUACGGGAGGCAGCAGUAAGGAAUAUUGCGCAAUGGGCGACAGCCUGACGCAGCGACGCCGCGUGGGGGAUGAAGGUCUUCGGAUUGUAAACCCCUUUCGGCAGGGAAGAUGGAACGGGCAACCGUUCGGACGGUACCUGCAGAAGCAGCCACGGCUAACUUCGUGCCAGCAGCCGCGGUAAUACGAAGGUGGCAAGCGUUGUUCGGAUUUACUGGGCGUACAGGGAGCGUAGGCGGUUGGGUAAGCCCUCCGUGAAAUCUCCGGGCCUAACCCGGAAAGUGCGGAGGGGACUGCUCGGCUAGAGGAUGGUAGAGGAGCACGGAAUUCCCUGUGUAACGGUGAAAUGC